GACGAACGCUGGCGGCGUGCCUAAUACAUGCAAGUUGAGCGCUGAAGGUUGGUCCUUGUACCAACUGGAUGAGCAGCGAACGGGUGAGUAACGCGUGGGGAAUCUGCCUUUGAGCGGGGGACAACAUUUGGAAACGAAUGCUAAUACCGCAUAAAAACUUUAAACACAAGUUUUAAGUUUGAAAGAUGCAAUUGCAUCACUCAAAGAUGAUCCCGCGUUGUAUUAGCUAGUUGGUGAGGUAAAGGCUCACCAAGGCGAUGAUACAUAGCCGACCUGAGAGGGUGAGCGGCCACAUGGGGACUGAGACACGGCCCAAACUCCUACGGGAGGCAGCAGGAGGGAAUCGUCGGCAAUGGACGAAAGUCUGACCGAGCAACGCCGCGGGAGUGAAGAAGGGUUUCGGAUCGUAAAACUCUGUUGGUAGAGAAGAACGUUGGUGAGAGUGGAAAGCUCAUCAAGUGACGGUAACUACCCAGAAAGGGACGGCUAACUACGUA
rnacentral:rRNA from 1 species